rnacentral:rRNA from 1 species
UACGGGGGGGGGCAAGCGUUGUCCGGAUUUAUUGGGCGUAAAGAGCUCGUAGGCGGUUCAGUAAGUCGGGUGUGAAAACUUUGGGCUUAACCCAAAGCGUGCAUCCGAUACUGCUGUGACUUGAGUUCGGUAGGGGAGUGGGGAAUUCCUAGUGUAGCGGUGAAAUGCGCAGAUAUUAGGAGGAACACCGGUGGCGAAGGCGCCACUCUGGGCCGAAACUGACGCUGAGGAGCGAAAGCAUGGGUAGCAAACAGG